rnacentral:misc_RNA from 1 species
AACGCACAUUGCGCCCGCCAGUAUUCUGGCGGGCAUGCCUGUUCGAGCGUCAUUUCAACCCUCAGGCCCCCAGUGCCUGGUGUUGGGGAUCGGCCCAGCCUUCUCGCAAGGCCGCCGGCCCCGAAAUCUAGUGGCGGUCUCGCUGUAGUCCUCCUCUGCGUAGUAGCACAACCUCGCAGUUGGAACGCGGCGGUGGCCAUGCCGUUAAACACCCCACUUCUGAAAGUUGACCUCGGAUCAGGUAGGAAUACCCGCUGAACUUAA